rnacentral:rRNA from 1 species
GCCAACAAGGCCUUUACUGACGCUAAAGCUCGAAGGUGCGGGUAUCGAACAGGAUUAGAUACCCUGGUAGUCCGCACGGUAAACGAUGGAUGCCCGCUGUUUGCGAUAUACUGUGAGCGGCCAAGAGAAAUCGUUAAGCAUCCCACCUGGGGAGUACGCCGGCAACGGUGAAACUCAAAGGAAUUGACGGGGGCCCGCACAAGCGGAGGAACAUGUGGUUUAAUUCGAUGAUACGCGAGGAACCUUACCCGGGCUUGAACUGCAGGAGAACGAUUCAGAGAUGAUGAGGCCCUUCGGGGCUCCUGUGGAGGUGCUGCAUGGUUGUCGUCAGCUCGUGCCGUGAGGUGUCGGCUUAAGUGCCAUAACGAGCGCAACCCUUUUCAUUAGUUGCCAUCAGGUAAUGCUGGGCACUCUGGUGAUACUGCCACCGUAAGGUGUGAGGAAGGUGGGGAUGACGUCAAAUCAGCACGGCCCUUACGUCCGGGGCUACACACGUGUUACAAUGGGGGGUACAGAGAGUCGGAUGUACGCAAGUACAUUCUAAUCCUAAAAGCCUUCCUCAGUUCGGAUUGGGGUCUGCAACCCGACCCCAUGAAGCUGG